AAGCCCCGAAAGCAACUACGUUCAUCACCUUGGCUGGCCAGAAUCCCUUCAGGAAGCAACUCUGCUGCACAUACAGUUGGAUGAGUGCUCCUGCUGAACAAUCCUUUGACAACGAAAAACCAAAACCACACCAGAGAUCCAGGUUUAGUAAAGACUUCGAGUCCAGAACUGACAGCCCUGGAGAUCUGAGUACAGCUUCUAGUGUAUGUCCUCCUCAUAGCAUAUGAAGAGGAUGCUCAGAGAUAAGAGGGUCUCCGUGCUCUUGCUGGAAGUAUAAAUGUAUAAAGUAAGAUGAAAAGAAGCAUGCCGUACAAGGGUGAAAAAUGCAGAUGUUAGAAAAUGUUUAUGAAGAGAAUCAUCAUUUCUGUUAUGCCAAGACACUUGCUCAACUGAAGAGGCACAAAAUUGCCACUGCUGGAAUUUCAAGUGAAACCUCAACUCUGUUUAUUCUUAGAAGUUAGUGAAUUUUAGAGUGUCACCUGUGACCAAACGGCCUGAAUUAUGUUCCUGUUGUAUUUAUAUUGACUUCACAGAGAACAGACCGGAGCCCAAGAAGCCGUAACUAAGUAGGAAAGGAGUAUGAAUGAGCCUAUGAAGAAGACUCUGAAUGUAGGACUUUACUGUAGAGUAUUUCUGCACAGUUUUGAAGAUAAAGCUUGUCCUGCAUGAAGUUAAAGUAGAUAGUAAUAACACAAUCACAUGGAUGUAAUUAGUUAUCUCUCUACCUGGUGUGCAUGUGGGUUUGUAACAAAUGUUGUUACUUGUUUGGUACUGUGAUACUUCUGAUGUUAAUUAUUAGUAAUUAAUAAUAAUAGUAAUAAUUAGUAAUUAUUAGUAAUUAGCAUUUCACUACAGAAGGGAACGGAGAGGUGUGGAUCCAGUAUUAAGCUGGAAAACAUUGAUGCAAAGAUUCAGAAUUUCUUCCCUCUUUCAUGGGAGAAUAAAAUUUUAAAGGUUUUAAAUGACUUCAACUUAAUAGGUAAAGACAUCACUCAAUUCUGGAUUGUCCUUUUGUGACACAAAAACACUUUUUGGACACUACCUUUACUGUUGUGUGAAAUGUUUACAGUAUGAGCAAUGCAAAUGUCAAAGAGAAAUUCCACUUUGAGCCAUUGAAGACAAGUUCAUAGUUCUGGCUGAAAAUAGGUGAGAUUUGAUUCUGUUAAAGUUUAAUUUUGAAAUUGUUAGAGCCCAACUCUCUAAGCAAAAAUUACAGUGACAAAACUUAUAAAGGGCAAGAACUAAAAUAAAUGUUAAUUAGUAGUAUCUGUACAUAUCUUUUUAUUUAUUCUUAAUAACAGUGUCUGAACUCCAACAAUUAUAGCAGCUGAUUCUCAGUACCUUUAAUGAGAUAGUUAUGACUGUUGUGUUUUGCAUCUCCAGUUCUGAAAGUACUUUGAGAUGUAUUUCUGGAGCUAGUGAAGAUGAGCACUACUGUUCAGUGUAAGUUGGAUACUCUAUAUAUCUAAAAUUCAGGCUUUUUGUGUCUUAGUGGCACAUCUAAGCUUAGGUCUGCUAAAAUUAGUAGCCCCCUUAAAAACAAACAAACAAACAAAACACAACUGUAGAUGUGUCACAUAAGGUACUGUGGCUUAAGAUCAGAAAAUAACAAGAAGAAUUAAGGUGCUUGUCUCUGAUUUGCAUAGACAUUCAGAUGAUGCUCUCAAUUUUUGUCUUUUUGAAAUUCACAUGCAUUAUCAAGGUUAUAAAUCAUGCUUGUGAGCCAGAAUACCUGCUUUCACUGUUAGAAGGCAUGUUAACAGCAUUAAAACUUUUCUGAAACUUGAAAGCCUUCCAUGUUCAUUUUUUUAAAUAAGAACUGUAAAUAACAGGCCAUUUUGGAGUAUAAUAAAUGAUCCCUUACAGAGCCUAAUAAUAACUUAGUUUAGUUAUAGCCCUUCUUCUUGCAAUAGACAGCUUACAAAAAAAUAUUCCUACAGCAUACACAUAAUUUUAGAGAUCUGGAAUAAAGUUUUGGAGCAAGUCCAUUCAUCUGUUUAGUACAAGUACGAAAAUUACUAGGAAUAUCUUUAACCUAUUUCUCAUCUUAGGAAGCUGCCUUAUCUUUUGGGGUUUCAGUUUGCCAAUAGGACUCUCUUUGCAGGUAUUUCCUUUCAACACAGACUGCUGCUUAUCCUCAUUGAUCAAAUCUCAUCAAUCAGAUACUAAAGAUUUAUAAAGUAGGUUUAAAAAUAAUAAUUUAAAAAUUAAUGAAGUCUGCAUGCCUCUGAAUUUGGAGUCUCUGAAGAAUCAUAUUUUCCAGAUUUUAUUGGAACCCUCAAGAGUAAUAUUUAAAGUUUUUUAAAUUAAUUACAGCACGGACUCCUACUUAACCACACAGCUCUGAAAGUUGCAAAUUAAAAGAGAUAACAAGAUCUGUGAAAUAGCUGAGAGGCCAAAAUAAUGCAGCCAUAUUAUGAGCACUAACAGUAAUGUUAUAGUGUUCUUUACCUAUGAUCUGAGCAGAUACCCAUUUUAAAGCAAAAUAAUGUUUAAUUGUCGUGAGG